rnacentral:rRNA from 1 species
AUUGAACGCUGGCGGCAUGCCUUACACAUGCAAGUCGAACGGUAACGGGCCUUCGGGUGCCGACGAGUGGCGAACGGGUGAGUAAUACAUCGGAACGUGCCCGACCGUGGGGGAUAACGAGGCGAAAGCUUUGCUAAUACCGCAUACGAUCUACGGAUGAAAGCAGGGGACCGCAAGGCCUUGCGCGGACGGAGCGGCCGAUGGCAGAUGAGGUAGUUGGUGGGAUAAAAGCUUACCAAGCCGACGAUCUGUAGCUGGUCUGAGAGGAGGAUCAGCCACACUGGGACUGGGACGCGGCCCAGACUCCUACGGGAGGCAGCAGUGGGGAAUUUUGGACAAUGGGCGCAAGCCUGAUCCAGCCAUGCCGCGUGCAGGAUGAAGGCCUUCGGGUUGUAAACUGCUUUUGUACGGAACGAAAAGCCUUCUUUUAAUACAGGAGGGUCAUGACGGUACCGUAAGAAUAAGCACCGGCUAACUACGUG